AUGACGCCACAGCCUAGUCCCAUUGCCAAGUCCCAAUUUCGCAAUCCCCUAAUUCUGUUUGAUGGCAAGGUUAUUUUGGUUUAUAUGAAUGCCUUCCUUGUUGGUUCAUGUAUAUGGCCAUACAUUCUUGCCCCCUCUCAAGUUUUUUUCCGGAUGUGGGAUAUUGUUUUCUUACAUAUGAAAAAUAAAACCUCGGAUGGGAGGUCCAUAGGCCGGUCGAUACAUGACGACCCUCAAGAAAAUACAAAUAGCCUUAUGGACCUCCCAUCCGAGGUCGUGGGCUGCGCAUUUCGUUCUCUCCGUCGCCUCCCGAUCCCAGCCGUCAAGAGGCGCGAUCCCGCGCCGUGCUCGAUACGGUGCCGCGCCGGCCGCCGGCCGACGACGGCGAUUGCAGCGCCCUUCGCCACCGUUUCGCUUCAACUCCUCUCCUCCGCGUGCCUGAGCUCCUUGCUGUGCGCCGCCCGGGAGGGCUCGCACUCGAUGCAGAACAUCGGCGGACGGAACUUGCAGGACCCAGAUCCGUGCGUGGCGAUGGGGAGGUCGCCGGUGACGCGUAGGAAGGCCGGAGUGCGGCUUCCCGGGCGGAUCCAUGGCGGCCCCUGGGCAGAAAGGAGAUAUGAGGUGAGGGAGAAAGAACGGACGGUGCGACGAUCUCGGCAGGAACUCGCAGGAGCCAGGCGACGGAUUGAAUCCGUUGUCGGUAAAGAAAAUGUUGGCUCGGAUGUUAUGGGCACAACCGGAAGAUUAAAGGGACCUCAUUCCCCAAGCUACUGGACGAAAAAUAAAAUUGUCAUGCUGCUUGGUCGGCACUGCAACUACACAGCUAAGCAGGAGAGUGGAAAUGCAGAACUAUAUGUUCCUAUUUCAACAACUGAAAAAGUUUUAAACAUGCCAUUGCAUUAUGUUUCAUAUUUUUGGCCAAGACGCUCUGCGGGGCGAUGGCACAUGGUCGGCAAGGCAGCGUUCUACAGCGCACCAGCCCGCAACGGAGGCGGCGCCCACGGCGCAGCCGUGGCCUUCGGUGCGCACCGCGGGGGUAGUGCUACCGGCCGCUGGCACGGCCCCGGAGCUGCUUCCCCAGACGGUGGUGCCCAUGGCUGUGGGCCCAUUGGCCCCCGGCCGGGUUCCCUGCGGAGGCGCGCGGUGAGGGCUGAAGUGACUGAAUCUGGAAGUUCUUUAGCGAUUGAUGCUCUGUCCCAAGUUAAGCAUAUUCUACUUCUGGUCACUGACCGCAACCCUUACCUCAGUUUUAAUUCCUUGAGGACAAUGGGUCCAAGAGUUGAUGGUUGGGAAGUAUCUUUGAAAGGAAUGAUGGGCAUAGUGGUACUUCUUGGGCUUGUCAUUACUUCCAUCUAUUGGGGAGUGAACAAGCUUGUGUCGAAUGAUCCUUCUCUUCCAAAAUCUGACCACAAGAAGAAAAAGAUGCUCGAUCCUUCAAUCUCUGGUGGAUGCUCCAUUUGGGAUCGAUACUCCCACUACCGCUCCCUCACGAUCGGAUUCGGUGAAUCUGUUUCCUCCAUGGCCCAGAGGAGCAGCUCUAUGUACUGUCGCGCGACUCCCUCCGGGAGUAUCGCCGCCUUUUCGCUCUGUUGCAGAUAUUUGGCCAUGGAUGUCAUCGUCGCCCUUCACAGGGUCGCCGUCUGCGAUCCUCACGUAUCGGUUGUACUCCUCCAUCCAUCUACUUCUCCACAGCACCUUCACUCGCCGGCGGUGGUUUUUGAAUGGAAGAGGAGAGGAGCAGCGCUGGAGAGGAUGGGCGGUGGUUUUGAAAUGGAAGAGGAGAGGAGCGGCACUGGAUUUAGAUUGGAACAGGAGAGGAGCGGCGGUGGUUUAAGAGGAGAAGAGCGGAAGAGCGGCGCUGGUCUUGGAAUCACAGCGCGCCGGCCCUCUCGUCCAAUCCUAAAUCGCUGCCGCACGCUCCUCUCCCUCUUCUCCAUUGCAAAAGCACAUCCUCUCCUCUCCAUCAUCUCCAUUCCAAAACCACCACCACAGUCUCUCCUCCCAUCUUCCAAAGCUAGCACCGGACCACUCAGAAGGACAUCUAUGGAGGGGAUGCAGCAGCGAAUCUGGCAGAUCGCCGGCGGCGACCAGGCAAAGUUAGCCAGGUUGAAGGAGAUCCUUACUUGGUUUGACAAUGAGUGGGAGAUUUCGAGGAAGGUGAGGGCCAUGUGGCAAUGUAUGCGAAAGAGCGAGACGACGACGAUGAGGGCGGCGAUGUACUCCUCGACGGCAGUCACGCCGCAGUCCUUCAAGUUCAUCGAGUAUCUCCUCUGGGCGAUGGAGCAGACAGAUUCGCCCGAGGUGAAAGUCAGGCGGAGGUGGUGGGCGUACAGGUCGAAGGUCGAGCACCCAGAGGAUAAUGAAUCGAUCGAGUACGGUGUGCUGUUCGUGAGGGUGCAGAGCCAGCCGGAGCCACAGGAGUAUUCGUUCUCCCACCGCAAGAGGAGGCCGGAUGGCGCGACGUCGCUUCCCCGCCGUUCUCCACGGUUCCCUCAACGCUCGCCUCGUUUCAACGGCGUCGGAUUUGCUGCCGAGAAAGAUCCGUCCACAGUGAGCGCCACACAUCCCACUGAUGGUGGUGGAUGCCAAUGCUUAGAUGGAGCAGGGUUGGUGUCGGUAAUUUUUACUUGGCACCUAGCACUCUGCAUAUAUGCCGGUUCCAUCCUGACACUAGGGUCGAGCAGGUGGCAAACGAGGUGUACCGUGCGUCGCAAGGAUGAAGGCGGGGGGUGCUUAGACUGGGAUGCUGAAGCUGGCUCUUUCAGUCCCUAUCUUCCCCCUGAUGUUUCUGUGGUAGCAUUUGGGUUUGCCAAAACAGUAGCACAAGAGCAGGAUCAACAUGUAGUAUCUUUGGCAAACGGUCAGACCAAAAAGGAACAUACCUCGUGA
rnacentral:rRNA from 1 species